GCCGGGCGUGGUGGCUCACGCCUGUAAUCCCAGCACUUUGGGAGGCCAAGGUGGGAGGAUGGCUUGAGCCCAGGAGUUCAAGACCAGCAUGGGCAACAUAGUGAGACCCUGUCUCAAAAUAAAUAAAUAAAUAAAUAAAUUUUUUAAAAAAGAAAAGUAGUUUCUUCUUUUCUUGUUGUUAAGAGAUAGGGUCUCGCUAUGUUGCCCAGGCUGGCCUUGAACUCCUGGGCUCAAGUGAUCCUCCCACCUC
rnacentral:SRP_RNA from 1 species